GUAGCCCUUUACACCUCUCAGUUCUAAAUUGUCUUCUCCCUGCAUUCAUCCCCAGGAGGUGUUUUCAUUAAUGAGAAUCUCCUAAUGAGAAGACUGGAGCAUUUAACACCUAACCAAAGAAGUGCUGAUUUCUUUCAGACUAGGUGCUCCGCAGUAGUACAUAAGGGCUUUGGUUGCCUUAAAAUUGGCAUGACUCCUCAAGGUGCUGGAGAGAAGACUUGUCAAGCUAACUGCUGGUAAAGUGAAGACAUAUUGGUAACAGUGAAAAUAGCAAUGGUAAAGAGGAGAUGAGAUCAGCUACCAACUAUGACUAAGUCUUGUAGCUGUCAAGAGAUAAAAAUAGAGUAAUGUGUACAUGCCUGAAGUAAAAAUAAGGUACCAGUGCAUGUGACAAAGCAGCAAUACACCUGGGACAUGAAAGUUGUUAGCAAAUAGCUGAUGUCAGGGCUGGAGGCAAGAGACAGAGAAAUCAAGAAAGUCAAGAGACAUGUGAAACUAAAGGGUUUGUUGCAAAAAUGGUAAAGAAUGGUGAAGAAACAAGAAAUCCACAUAGUCAAAGGUGAACCCUGGGCUGAGGAACAUGCAGAGACAGAGCAAAACUUUUUGAGCUUCGUAAUAGUGAGAUUCUACAACACACAACAAGCAGCAGACAUAGUGAUGAGAUUCCCCUGUUGCCAGUUGGUCCAACAAGCCAACUCUUAAUCUUGGUUUUGUCCAAAUGACUGGCUGCUGUUGAGUCAUCUUGAUGGAUACAGCAGCAUCUGUUGCACUCUGGCAAGACCAGGGGCCUAUACAACAUUCUUCCCAGAAAACAGUAAUGAGAUAUGCACCUCUUACAUGUUCCUACAUAACGAUGAUGCAGCAGGACACUGAUAUAUUUAAGAAGCCAUUGGAAACAAGCAGCGUUUUGCAAGCCUUUGCAUCUCACUGUAAUAAUAAAAAGUGAUCUGUCAUUGUCAUUUUACUGCAUUUUUCCUUCUGAAUCUUAGACGAAGGUUACACCAGAGCAUUCAGGUUUCAUCAGCUUUGAAUAAGUUGCUGUAGUUACUUCCCUAGA